rnacentral:tRNA from 1 species
GGCUCCGUAGCUCAGCCUGGAUUAAGAGCACCAGGGUCCUAACCUGGGGGUCGCAGGUUCAAAUCCUGUCGGGGCCG